rfam:Gossypium hirsutum cultivar TM-1 unplaced genomic scaffold scaffold559.1, whole genome shotgun sequence
UGUUAAAAGUUUCAUCCAUUUGUGCUCUUAAAAACUGAUGUGAUUGACGGAAUAACCAGAUAGUGACAUAUGUUGUGCAAUGUAUACCUCAUGUUGAUGUACAGGGACCAGUUUUAAACAGUAGAAAUGGAUGAACUUUUUAACA